rnacentral:rRNA from 1 species
GUAGUAGUGGGUGUAGCGUACCUACUAGCCUACGACGGGUACGGGUUGUGAGAGCAAGAGCCCGGAGAUGGAUUCUGAGACACGAAUCCAGGCCCUACGGGGUGCAGCAGGCGCGAAAACUUUACAAUGCUGGCAACAGCGAUAAGGGAACCUCGAGUGCCAGGUUACAAAUCUGGCUGUCGAGAUGCCUAAAAAGCAUUUCAUAGCAAGGGCCGGGCAAGACCGGUGCCAGCCGCCGCGGUAACACCGGCGGCUCGAGUGGUAACCGUUAUUAUUGGGUCUAAAGGGUCUGUAGCCGGCCGGAUAAGUCUCUUGAGAAAUCUGGCAGCUUAACUGUCAGGCUUUCAGGAGAUACUGUCUGGCUCGAGGCCGGGAGAGGUGAGAGGUACUUCAGGGGUAGGGGUGAAAUCUUGUAAUCCUUGAAGGACCACCAGUGGCGAAGGCGUCUCACCAGAACGGACCUGACGGCAAGGGACGAAAGCUAGGGGCACGAACCGGAUUAGAUACCCGGGUAGUCCUAGCCGUAAACGAUACUCGCUAGGUGUCGGCCACGGUGCGACCGUUGUCGGUGCCGUAGGGAAGCCGUGAAGCGAGC